CAAAGUUUAGCCGACCUUUUCCAUUCAUGACGGUGACAACAUUGAAGAGGUCUUCGUAUCAAUUCUUUCCAAACCUGUAACUUAGCCUAACACAAAAUCGAAAUCGGGAAAACGAUGUCGCAGUUGAAGGGUUUACGGAGAGAUCGUCUAUUAAUAAUAAAGCAGAAUCACUUUUGCUUUACUGAAUUCAAAGAGUUAUGAACAAAUUGCAUGUAUUUGGGUGAUUAGUGGCAUAAAUCAUCCUUAUAUAUAGCCGUAUGUGGAGCUUUCUGAUUCUUAAUGUGGAGGGUGAUCUUAUGGAAAAAAAAACAUAAGGAAGCGUAGCCAUUUUCGAGUGAAGCCGCAAACAAAGUGAAGAAAGUAUGAAGGUUUCAAUUGAGUUAUUAUGUUUUCAUGUUUUAGAAAGAUAAAAAUUGAAGAGUUUUUAGUUCAUGGAGCUAGUCCUUUAUGGUGACAUUCA